rnacentral:rRNA from 1 species
CAUGCAAGUCGAGUGCGCGGUUGUAGCAAUACAACUGGCGCACGGCGCACGGGUGCGUAACACGUGGGUAACCUGCCCUUUGGUGGGGAAUAACUCCGCGAAAGCGGAGCUAAUUCCGCAUAAGAUCCGCAAGGAUGAAAGCCGCAAGGCGCCGAAGGAGGGGCCCGCGCCCGAUUAGCUAGUUGGUAGGGUAACGGCCUACCAAGGCUUUGAUCGGUAGCUGGUCUGAGAGGAUGAUCAGCCACACUGGAACUGAGACACGGUCCAGACUCCUACGGGAGGCAGCAGUGGGGAAUCUUGCACAAUGGGCGAAAGCCUGAUGCAGCGACGCCGCGUGGGGGAUGAAGCAUUUCGGUGUGUAAACCCCUUUCGAUCCGGACGAAACCCCGCAAGGGAUUGACGGUACGGAUAUAAGAAGCCCCGGCUAACUACGUGCCAGCAGCCGCGGUAAGACGUAGGGGGCCAGCGUUGUUCGGAAUUACUGGGUGUAAAGGGUUCGUAGGCGGUGCGGCAAGUUGGGAGUGAAAUCUCUGGGCUUAACCCAGAGGCUGCUUCCAAAACUGCUGUGCUUGAGUGUGGGAGAGGGGCGUGGAAUUGCAGGUGUAGCGGUGAAAUGCGUAGAUAUCUGCAGGAACACCCGUGGCGAAAGCGGCGCGCUGGACCACUACUGACGCUGAGGAACGAAAGCUAGGGGAGCAAACAGGAUUAGAUACCCUGGUAGUCCUAGCCCUAAACGAUCAGGACUUGGGGUGCCACCCGUUCGGGUGUCGUCCCGGAGCUAACGCGUUAAGUCCUGCACCUGGGGAGUACGGUCGCAAGACUGAAACUCAAAG